CUCAUUAACGUUGAGCUAGAAUUGGUCUCUAACUACUUGCCUAUCCUCUAUCAGGCUUUCCAAACCUACACCCAGGUCAUCCUCACCACACAGAACCGAACAGGAGGAUGCUCCUUCUGCUUUCCUGUGACUGGUCAUUUGCUGGAUCUUUGAAGAUUAAAGACAUAAACUAAGACCUUAGGAAACCGGAGGAUGUGCUGCAAGAAGAAAACCAGAGCUGGAGGAAGGUACCACUGUGGCUGGCGCCUCCUUGCUGCUGCAGUCAUUCUGCCCUCCGGAAGGAAAGGCCAAGGCAAUAACAGAAGUGCCAGCCCAGACAGACAGACAUCAGCUGCUGAAACCAAUGCCAGCAACCACCUACCUUCAGACUUCUUACCACGUGAG